ensembl:rRNA 5S_rRNA 5S ribosomal RNA
CCCGGCAGCCAUAUCACCCUGUAGCCCAAGACUGGUUGCCCACUGAAGCUAAGCAGGGUUGAGCCUGGUCAGUACCUGGAUAGGAGACCUCCUGGGAAAACUAGGUUGCUGUUGGAA